AGGAAAACGCAGGUAACAACACAUUUGACUGCUAUUGAAAUCCAAGCCCUAGUUGAUCGCGCUGCGAUCAGGUUCCAACUGCAACGUCGAGAUAUCGAAGCAAGUAUUUCUCGACCACUCACUCGAACGUCUUCGGAACCUUUCGGCCCUGAAGCCGAAGUACCCCAUCACAGGCACCAUUCCAGGGACUUCUUGGCGCGACUCCUCACUGACUGCAUCGUUUCUGGACAAGGUCCCAGACACGGGGCCGAGAUUGCGGUUUGUCCUGGUCCUCGGUACCCGAAGGCUACUAAGGCGCCACCUGGUAUCCCAGUUCCAUUAUGAAGUAUCACUUCUGACUAGCAAGCUCCGGCGAUACUACAUCUAAAUUCACCGCGACACCCACAGCAGUCGACAAAAUAUGUGAUAGCUAAAGUUGUAUAAUUGCUGAACUUAAAUUGUUAAUUAUUAUAAUUCUGGUAUUGUCAAUAACUAUAGGUACUAACUGUAAGCAACACCGGAAAGAGUGAAUAUGUGA